ACACAAGCAGUAAAAAUUCACACUGUUUAUUAUGAAGUUAACAAAAGUAUAUAUGACAAUGCAUAUGGGUGUAACUGACAUGUCGUUACACUCCCAUUGGUUCGUUAAUAGUUACCAGGCAGAACAGAAAAAGGCGGAUGUCCAUAUAUGGGUUUUCUACAAGUUUCUCAAACAUUUAACAAAGUUUUUGUAACACAGUAUAUUUGGGUAGAAAGAACGAGUUUCAUCUGGUAUGGAACUGACCUUGGAUGCCAGACCCACACAGGCCUGGUAUCUGUAUGAGAGACAAAGGCACCUAGCACAGGGCAGCACGCAUCCAUGCAAACACAUAAGAGUUCAUAUAGCAUGUUUUAACCCUUCACUAGGGAAAUAGAAAUAUUCACUUUUACACUGUAACUAUUAUAAGGAAAUUGAUCAUAUAAAAAGUAAUAUUUACAAAGACAGAAGAGGUAACCCUUCAAUCCCCUCUUAGAAUCAUGAUUAUUAUAUGACAUGAUUCUUGAGUGAGGCUCCUUUCUUGUUCCUCCAGUUCUUGAGAUAUUGGACAUAAUCGUCGGGUCCCUUACUAUCAGAGGAGGUGACAGGACUGGUGGUUAUAUCAUAGUACAUCAGGGCCUUAUCAAUGCCUUUGGAGGUAUGCUGAAAAAAAGGCAUUCUUCAAAUCAAUUACAGAGAAGAACGCAGCAUCUGCAGGGAUUGCAGAAAUGAGGACGAUCACUGAAUUCCGGACAUAGCCCCCAGCUGAAAGGAUUUGCCCUUAUACCUUAACCCUCGAUGUGAUGGCCUCUUAGACGUCUGGAGUGUAAACUUUAACCACAAGUUCCCUACAAGCGUGACAGAAUGGCAAGCUAUUGCAGAGGACUUUGAGAGGCGUUGGAAUUACCCAAACUGUGGUGGUGCAAUAGACGGGAAACAUGUGCGCAUCUCCAAACCCACCAACAGCGGGUCGGACUACUACAAUUACAAGGGCUACUUUAGCAUUGUUCUCAUGGCGGUGGUCAAUGCAAACUGUGAGUUUAAUUUCCUGGAUGUUGGGAAAAAUGGUCAUUGCUCGGAUGGUGGAUCUUUGAAAAAUAUGCGCUUCUAUGAUAGGCUCACCACCAAUUCCAUUCAUCUGCCGCCUGUGGAGCAAACAAAGAGUGGCCUGGGAUUUGUGUUCGUGUUCUUUGCACUGCACAAACACAUAAUGAAGCCCAACCCGCAAAGAGUUCUGAACCACGAUAGGCGCAUUUUCAACUACCGCCUUUCUAGGGACCACAGGGUUGUUGAGAAUGCAUUUGGCAUUCUCAGGAACCGGUUCCGGAUCUUUCACAAACCCAUUAACAUGAGGCUGGACAAAAUUGACUGUGUAGUAACAGCAUGUUGUAUACUACACAACAUGCUCCGUCGCAAGGCCAUGAGGCAAAUGCCUUUGCUCCCAGCCGGACCGGAAGAUCCCAACCAGCCUGUGGUGACAGCGGCAAUUUCCUCCUUGGGACCACCUGCAGCAACUAUACGCGGCACUGCAAGGGCAAAAGAGGUUAGGGAAAAAUAUAAUGCAUUCUUCAAUGGGGAGGGAGCUGUGGCAUGGCAGGAGGAAUGUAUUAGGUAAAAGAAUUUAAAAGGCAACUUACCCAUUCGGCCUCCUCCAUGUCUAGACUUCCCUCCUCGAACUCCACCAUGGACUCCUUAGCAGACCUUUUCUCCAGGAGGAAGUUGAGAUCUUUAAAGUACCACAGCUGUGGCACAUACACCUUGUUUGCACCGGCCCCAGACCUCUUGGACUCCUCCACCUUGCGAUUUUCUUUGACAAAGACUGUCCGUAGAUUGGCGAUCUUCUUUCGGACCCAGGCCACCGAGGCAGCAGAGAAGGUGAGCUUGGAGUACUCCACCGUGUAUAAGCAGCCUCCCUCUUCUGCUUGUUGCUGUAGUCCAGUGAGGACGUCAGCCAUAGACACUCCUCCUCGCAGUACAGGCUGAUGAAGCCAGAAAGAAAGUCACAGUUCUCAUAGGACAUCUGCAGAAUGCAAAAAAAGGAAAAUUAAAAAAUAUGAAAAAAGUAAACUAUUCCGGUUAAAUAAAGUUUGUUUUCCAGUUA